rnacentral:rRNA from 1 species
UAAGGAAUAUUGGUCAAUGGAGGCAACUCUGAACCAGCCAUGCCGCGUGCAGGAUGACUGCCCUACGGGUUGUAAACUGCUUUUGUCUAGGAAUAACCCUUGGUACGUGUACCGAGCUGAAUGUACUAGAAGAAUAAGGAUCGGCUAACUCCGUGCCAGCAGCCGCGGUAAUACGGAGGAUCCGAGCGUUAUCCGGAUUUAUUGGGUUUAAAGGGUGCGUAGGCGGCCUGUUAAGUCAGGAGUGAAAUACGGCAGCUCAACUGUCGCAGUGCUCUUGAUACUGAUGGGCUUGAAUAUCGCUGAAGAUGGCGGAAUGAGACAAGUAGCGGUGAAAUGCAUAGAUAUGUCUCAGAACACCGAUUGCGAAGGCAGCUGUCUAAACGAUUAUUGACGCUGAUGCACGAAAGCGUGGGGAUCAAACAGG